rnacentral:lncRNA from 1 species
CUAAAACCACUCCCUCAGGCUAAGCAUGAUGCGCAUGUAAGAGCUAUGGGUAUUAGGUACAUUCUAGAUUGACUCUAGUACAUGUGUGAGACUGUUGGAGGUAUGCCCUAGAGGCAAUCAUAGAGAUGAUUAUAUUCCAUUUGUAUCCAUGAUUUAUAUUGUGUUCCUUGAAUAUCCAUUAAAGGCUACUAGAAUUGAUUUGUAAUUAUGUGAAUUGUAUGUGAAACUCUUUAGUUGUAUGGUUAUUCUAAAGUUGUCCCUAGUCGGAGUUCAUGUGAGGACACACA